UCUACUACUUAAAAAGACUAAACUGGUUCCUUAUUCUGCCUAAGGAGCAAUACGUUAAACUUUCGUCGUCCUUCGUCGCACGUCGCUACCGCCCAGAUGGGCCAGCCAAGCCCAACAAAUCCGAUUCCCAAGCAACACUACCUCGCCUCCUCUGUUUCCGAGAACCUCGUCCGCCGCCGCUCGCUAGAACCUCACGCGCCGCCGCUCGACCAUGUCGAUUACCACCUGUCCGCCGUCACUUGCUAGGACCUCGCCCGCCGCCGCUCGCCAGGAUCUCGCCCGCCGCCCCUCUACCUGCCCCGCCUCUGCUCGACCUUGGCCAGGACAUGAGAUCGCCCCGACCGGCCGCAGUUUGGCGAGGUCAGGCUCGCCCAAGCCUGCCUCCUCUCGCAUGGAGAGAUGACCACGGAACCACACGCUCAAGGACCCGCAUCCCCGCCCUCAUCGUCCUCCUUCGUCCUGCCACGCUCCAGCAUCACCUCCUCCUCCAGCUUUGUCGCGGAGGUCGGCGAGGACGGGAUCGGCCGAUGCGGCAUCAAGGCCUUCAGGGCGACAACGACAACGCGCUAGAUCUUUGGUCGCAGUCGUCUUUCUCCUCCAACGACGAUGGUCGGCCUCCUCCCGCUUCUCCCCACCUCCGACGAGUUACUCCGGAUCUUGCAGCGCCUACUCGAGUUCGUUCAGCAAGCUCAGGACGCCUCCUCGAGUUCGUUCACCAACUCAGGAUCUUGCAGCACCUCCUCGAGUUCGUUCAGCCAGCUCCGGAUCUUGCAGCGCCUCCUCAAGUUCGUUCAGGUAGUCAGCUUUGUUCAGGUUCUUAGCUACCGAUGAGAGUGUAGUGUGACCUUUUCUCCGGUGUGUACUCCCAGAGCACAUCGCCUAGAAGCUGUACUCCCUCUGAUCUGUACUCUGCCUUGAAGCUUUCUCCGCUCCGGCGACGACGAGAGUGGUCCGGUGAGCAAGGUGCAUCGUCAGCCUUUCUUACUGUGAAGUAGUACCAAUGUCGGCUGGACAUAACCUGGAAGCUAUCACAUCUGGAAAUGAAACCAUCUCUUGAUGUUGAUGAUGCAGAACAUAUGCAGUGGAUAUAUUCAGAGGUUUGCUCUAUUGUGGUGACAAGUAAUUUAGAUAGUAGCCUUUCGUGUCUAAUUUGCCAUUUACACCAAUACAGGCUUUAAAGAGAGCAAAACUUUUUGGUAUUUCUGGAGUUACAUAUUCUUCGAUUCAGCUAUGUUGUCUUCUCCGUUUAUUAUCUAGCCCUAACAUGUAAUUUUAUUCUUCGAUUCAGCUAUGUUGUCUUCUCCGUUUCUUACUUUGUGGCCUUGCCUGUUGGUAGCUACUGGUGGGAUUAUUAAAAUUUAAUGGUUAUGUAGUGUCGUUGGUUCGAACUCCUCUUAUCUUACUAUAAAAUAAUAUAGAGUAUAUUUGAUGUACGCUCGCUUAGUGGACCGCAUUAGCAGUUUUUCAGGAUUAAAAAAUGGUUGCCUGCUUUAGUUUAUUUUCAUCUGCGUAGCUACAGAUGGUAAACUCAUAGCAUAGAGAAAAACAUGUUGCCUUUUGAUUUGAUGUUCAUAACAUUUGUUGGAAGUAUUUUGUCCAAUUCAAAUUUUCAUUACAGAUCCAUUAAAUCUGUCAUACGAUGAGUGAUCUUUGCAAGAUAACUGGACCAGAAGCUUUGGGAUAGCAGUCAUUCUGUUUUACUGAAACAACUUCCUGAAGUAGUGUUACAUCAGAUGGACAGAGGUAAUCAGUUUUCAAACCUUUUUAGGUACUUCUAUAUUGAAUAUGAUGGAGAUUGUUUUGUAUAGCAGCAGCCACCAACAUGAAUGAUGGCAGCGAUAUUCUCCACUCCGUGACUUCUGCUUUCUCGACUAACAAGCAGGAUGCUCAGAAACUUUUAAAGAUCCCUAGAAGAAUAAUGCUUGAUGAAAUGCUGAAGCAACUUGGAUUUACAGAGGCUCAGUAUCAACACAUGAUUUAUGAAGACCACAAAGUCUCUGUGACUGUUAUUUUCCAAACAUCGAAACUGUCCUGUCAAGGUUCCCUUGUCCCUAUGACUAUCUGGAGUCAAGUCCAUGGAUGGCAUCUUAGCGGAACACGACGUUGUUGUAGCGGCUAUUACUUACAUGGAGAGUGAAGCUAAUACAAUGAUCAAAGAUUUAAACUAUGACCGGUUAAAGCAGUUAGAAGAGAACAAAUCCCGCAGGAUUCAGCUUAGGAAGGCUGACACUAAGGGUAAAAAACUUGCAUGAGGUUGGUUUCUAUCUGCGAGGCAUAGGUGCUCCUUUUCAUCCCAGUCUAAUAAUUUGACAUUUUUCAGCACCGUUCAUAUAUCCAACUGUUGUAAGGUAAUACGAGGCCUGUUCACUAUUUACCCAUAUAGUAUCUUUUCUGCAGCUGGAGAAAAGGUCGUUGCAAUUUAUAUAGAUGUUCUACAUCAUAGAGCACAAGGUUCUUGUGGAAUUUGAUUUUUUUAGUUCAGUUUACUGAUCUUUAGCUUGCAUUCCUUUCUUUCUGCUGUCAUGGUGGCUUUCUGUGCUUCACUUUCCUUUGUUGUUGUUGUGAUGCUCGAGUGCAUCUUGUUUUGGCUAAUCUGGGAAGGGUCAACAGUACAUUAUAGUUGAGCUGACUGUUGAGAAAGUGUUUAUUUGCAGCUGCUCGUAUUCCCUAAUAUUUAUGUUUCCCUUUGUUACCAUAUAGUUUAGCUAGGAAAACUAAAGAAAGUAAUACUAAAGAGACUCCCCAAAAAUUAGUACUGUAAAGAGAAACUCAAUUCAGAAUGUAAAUUGCUAUAUCCUUUUCAAGAAUUUGAUUACGGCACUACUUUUGUUCAUGUAAGUUUAUCUAUUGCACUGUCAUUGAUUCACCUAUCAUAAAGUGAUUUAUGAGUUUCUUUACUUCAAAGCAUUGUAUCUAUUUUUUUCAGUCGAUGGUGCAAAUGAAUACUACUAUACAGUGUCACCUCCAAGGUAGUUCACAACACCUUGGACGGAUCAUCUUCCUGUUUCCAUCCCUGGUUCCUGUGCAACUUCCUAAAAUUUGGGCUUUUGUGAAGUCCUAUUUUAAGAUUCUAUAGAAUUUUGUCAAAGUGUUUGUGCCCCUGAUGAAGAAAGUGACAGAUGUGGUCAGUAAUCUGAAAGAAGGAAUGCACAAUGCCGCUCAAUUACAGUUAGUUUACCCAGGCCGAGGAUUUAUAAUCUUAACGCAUGAUAAUUUUUCAGAUUGCUGCCCAAUCAAAGCUGAUUGUUCCGAUAAUUGUUUCCCAUUUGGAUUUUAACUAGGUCAUGAGUAAUGAUGUUACCUUUCAAUGAUGGAGUAUAUAUGUACAAAUAUUUCCUGAAAGUAUUUAUCCUAAGGUGUUUAUAUUAUAUAUGUUUGGUGAUGUAUUUAUGAUGAGAUUAUUUGUUCUCUGCGUGUUCACCUUCUCAGCCUGCUCACUUCUUCUCUACUUCUCAGUGCACCACCGUCAAAGCUGAUUGUUCGCCAGAUACAUCAAGGGGACGCCAACUGAUGUGUAUGACUGUGAGUGCUCUUCUUAUUUUCAAAGAAAAUGCAGAAUGCUUGGGACAAUUACUGAUAUUUUUGACUGCCAGUGAUCUCCUUAUUUUCAGAGAAGAGGCAGAAAGCUUCCAUAUUUUUCUGUUGAGCAGGUGCUCUCCUUUUUUUUAUAGAACAUGCCUUGCAUUCCUCCCAGAACCUGAGCUUUCAAAUGGAUCAUGUAUCACACGAGUACCAAAUUGUGCUAAAUAUCCAUGAUCUCUAGCCCUUCCAUUUAUUGAUUCACUACAGAAUUUCUUGUGAAGUUUCAGCUUCAUUAACGAAUGGGUACUUUGAUGGAUUCUUAUGAAUGAUGCUCAACAUAAAUGUGCCAUCACGUGUUUGAUGCAUGAUCAAAACAAA